rnacentral:tRNA from 1 species
ACAUUGGUAGUUCAGUGUUAGAAUUCUCACCUUUCGUGCAGGAGAUCUGGGUUUGAUUCCCAGCCAAUGUA